rnacentral:tRNA from 1 species
AAAACAUUAGUAAACUUGAAAAUUACAUCACUUUGUCAAGGUGAAGUCGUAGGUUAAAGUCCUGCAUGUUUUA